GUAAGCCAAAGUUUUAUCACAACUUUACAUGGUAUCAGGCCAAAGAAAUUUUCUUUGAAAGAUAAUUAUUAGCCAUGGCUGGCGGUGAUGAAACACCACCACCACCACCACCUACAAAAAUUGAACUCAAUUCACCAUAUUACCUCGGUUCGCAAGACCAAUCAGGGGAUUUCAUUACUCCUACUUGCCUUACAACAAACAAUUAUGACUCUUGGGCGCCGACAUUCAAACAACAUUAGAAGCUCGAAGAAAGUUUAAAUUUUUAGAUGGCUCGAUCAAUACACCAUCACCCCCUUGUACGAAGUCCGAUUGGACGACGAUCAACGCAAUGCUCAUCUCAUGGAUCACCAAUACAAUAGACCUCGGAUUAAAAUCAACUCUGUCCAAAUUCAGGGAAGCUAAACCUUUUUGGGAUCACCUCAAGCAACGAUUUGCUCAAACUAACGUUCCGCGUAUUCAACAAUUGCGUUCUUCAAUCGCAAAGUGUGAGCAAAAAAAAUUAAUGCUUAUUUCUGUGUACUAUGGCAAGCUCCAUACUUUGUGGCAGGAAUUGGACCGUCACGAGCCGUUGGUUUCCUGCUCUUGUUGUGCUUCUUGUUCGGCUGGGAAACUGCACGAAUAACGCCGAGCACAAGCACGUUUACAUGAUUUUCUAAUGGGGUUAUAUUCUGAUUUUUACUCUCCCUUACGCACAAAUAUAUUGUCUCAAGACCCACUCCCAAGUCUUGACAAAGCGUACCAGUUAGUGACUCUAGAAGAACGUGUUCAUUUAUCGAAACAGGAAGUUGAAUUCACACCCACUGAGGUUGUUGGGUUUGCUGUGCGUACAGGGUCUGAGGUGGCAGCAGGUGCGGCUCAUGUUAAGGGUCGAAACUACGACUAACCCGUCUGCAAUAAGUGCCACAAAAUAGGACACGAAACCUCUAGCUGCUGGGUAGACAUUGUGUGUGGGUAUUGUAAGAAAAAGGGGCAUCCGGAGAGUCAUUGUUAUGAACUUGUGGGUAGGCCCGAGAACAAAAAGCCAGGGCAGGGACGAGGACAGGUACGUGCUAAUGUGGCUGCCAAUUGACUUCUUCAUAUAAUUCAACUAUUUCAGCCUUGGGGCAAUUAUUUACACCGGAGCAAUGGAAGGCUAUUGCGGGAGUCGUCGGUAAAUCUCAAAUUCCAGAAAAUAGAUUGACCGGACCAAACGAAGGAGCUGAUUGGAACGGGAACUAGGAGAGAUGGACUAUACUAUUUUAGCAAACCGAAAUUUGUGUCAAGUGUUGAAGCUACAUCCAAUUUGGAGUUAUGGCAUCGUUGAUUUGGUCAUCCUUCCGAAAAAGUAGUUAAGUUAAUUCCUCAUGUUAGUAGUAGUAAAGAUCAUUUAUAUAUUGGUUGUGAAGUAUGUAUGUACGCUAAGCAUCUGAGAGAUAAAUUUCCUUUGAGUGAAAA